AGCCGUGGCAGAAGCUGUGAUAAUUUUCCAGAUAAAAGGGAAAUUCAAAGGGAACUGCUUUUAUUUCUGUUCUGAUUCUCAUGCAUGAUGGUGAGAAGAUGUAGAAAGGUGAAGAAAACACUUGGGAUCCCCAGCAGGGGCAGAUCAGGGAGCUGUUCAAUAUAUUCAUCUUUCAGCAGGAUAAAUGUGUUCUGAUGGCUCUGGGGAGAAAAUAACCAGAAUGGCUUACUCUUUUCAAAUGCAUAGCAUGUGCAGUGAUUAAAUGGGGUGUAAAGAGUAGGCCAUCUGAAUAUGGGCCCAUCCUUGUUCUGAGGACUCCAGAUGAAUGAAGAUCUGUUGUAGCCCCAGUGAUCUUGUUCCAAAAGGGAGGGUACAGUAUUCAGAAUCCCCAUUUUAUAUCCAGAAAGUGGUCAAAUCUUAUAACCUGCCAUCGGCUUUUUGGAUGACUGUCCCACUUUCCUGCUUACCAUAGAAUUUUUUAAGAGCUCCAGUGAAUUCAGAGCUACAAACAGCCUACUCAGUGCUAUGUUAGGUGGAGCUGCACUUGCUGAAGACUUGUGGGUUACAUUUUUCCAUGCAGGAGCACAGGUUAGAACCAACAUUCUUUUCUCGUAGUUUUUAAUUUGCAGUUUUCAGAUGGUAUAAGAUACCAAAACAACUCAAGUAUUUUGCUGCAGGUUCAGGGCUGUGAGUUCAGCUUCUUCUUUGCACUUAUUGCAAAAGCUCCCUCCCAAACUGGGAGUCAAAUGGUACUGUGUUGUUCUAACUGCAGGACAGAAGUAGUCUGAUGUGAAAUUAGGCAUGUGUUGGUGUUGAGAGCUCUGUGCACAUGGUCCUCGUCAUAAAGGGGUUAUAAAUUUCAUAGGGAAAAAAAGGUCUGAAAAGAAAUAUCUUCAGUUUACAAGUGGAAAUGGGAUUUAUUUACUUUCUUUCCUUCUUUCCUCCCUUGAAGAUGAACUUUUCCUUCUACAUGACUUUUCUGAUGCUGCCUCUCUCCUCAGGGAAGAAAUGCUCCUCUCCUUGCCUUGUCUUUCUCUGUGGUCUUUGUGGAAUGAGGAUGAUGGACUAUGGCUAACACGAUCUCACAAGAAGCAAAAAGGAGAGGAGAGAUGCAGGCCUGGGAAUUCACGUGGCUACUGGGCCAAAUUGAUGUCAUGCUCCAAAUUUACAGAUGCUUAACGGACCUAAUUUGAUAUUACUUCAAAUAAAACUGGAGUGAACAGAAUGCUCUGCUUGCA
rnacentral:lncRNA from 1 species